rnacentral:misc_RNA from 1 species
CUGAGUGAGGGCCCCCCGGGCCCGACCUCCAACCCACUGUAAUCCGACUCUGUUGCCUCGGGGGCGACCCGGCCUUCGGGCGUCGGGGCCCCCGGUGGACCACUUAACUCUGCAUCUUUGCGUCUGAGUGAUAAACCAAAAUUAUCA